UACAGAGGGGGCAAGCGUUAUUCGGAAUUAUUGGGCGUAAAGGGCGCGUAGGCGGCUUGACAAGUGGAAGGUGAAAUCCCUCGGCUUAACCGAGGAACUGCCUUCCAGACUGUCUGGCUUGAGACCGGGAGAGGUGGGUGGAAUUCCCAGUGUAGCGGUGAAAUGCGUAGAUAUUGGGAGGAACACCAGUGGCGAAGGCGGCUCACUGGACCGGUACUGACGCUGAGGCGCGAAAGCGUGGGGAGCAAACGGG
rnacentral:rRNA from 1 species